UGGCGGCAUGCCUAAUACAUGCAAGUCGAACGGUAACAGGUCGCUGUGAUCCCUUCGGGGUGAACUUGAUGCUGACGAGUGGCGGACGGGUGAGUAAUGCUUGGGAAUCUGCCCAGUAGUGGGGGACAACACGGGGAAACUCGUGCUAAUACCGCAUACGUCCCCUUGUUUGGUUACAAGGGGAGAAAGUGGGGGAUCUUCGGACCUCACGCUAUUGGAUGAGCCCAAGUCGGAUUAGCUUGUUGGUAGGGUAACGGCUUACCAAGGCGACGAUCCGUAGCUGGUCUGAGAGGACGAUCAGCCACACUGGGACUGAGACACGGCCCAGACUCCUACGGGAGGCAGCAGUAGGGAAUAUUGGACAAUGGGCGCAAGCCUGAUCCAGCAAUGCCGCGUGUGUGAAGAAGGCCUGCGGGUUGUAAAGCACUUUCAGUAGAGAAGAAAAGCCUCGGGUUAAUACCCCGGAGUCUUGACGUAACCUACAGAAGAAGCACCGGCUAACUCCGUG
rnacentral:rRNA from 1 species